GACGAACGCUGGCGGCGUGCUUAACACAUGCAAGUCGAACGAUGAAGCGGCCAGCUUGCUGGUGGUGGAUUAGUGGCGAACGGGUGAGUAACACGUGAGUAACCUGUCCUUCACUCUGGGAUAAGCCCUGGAAACGGGGUCUAAUACUAGAUAUUCUCAAUGUGCCGCAUGGUGUGUUGUGGAAAGAUUUUUUGGUGAGGGUUGGACUCGCGGCCUAUCAGCUUGUUGGUGGGGUAGUGGCCUACCAAGGCUUUGACGGGUAGCCGGCCUGAGAGGGUGACCGGCCACACUGGGACUGAGACACGGCCCAGACUCCUACGGGAGGCAGCAGUGGGGAAUAUUGGACAAUGGGCGGAAGCCUGAUCCAGCAACGCCGCGUGAGGGAUGACGGCCUUCGGGUUGUAAACCUCUUUCAUCUAUGACGAAGGCUCUGCUUUUUGGUGGGGUUGACGGUAAUGGGAGAAGAAGCACCGGCCAACUACGUGCCAGCCGCCGCAGUAACAC
rnacentral:rRNA from 1 species